rnacentral:tRNA from 1 species
GAGCCCGUAGCUCAGCCUGGUAGAGCACGUCCCUUUUAAGGACGGUGUCGAUGGUUCGAAUCCAUCCGGGCUCA